AACGUCGAAAUUCAACUUUAAAAAAUGGUAUGGAACUCUGUUUCAAUUUUCUUUUGUUCGGUUUAUACGUAAAAUUAUUUACAGGAGAAGUGCGACUCUUACAUUUUUCUAACAAUACAAUCACCAAGUCGAUGUCGAUAUCGAUAUUUCAUAUUGUGCUGUACCACACUAAAAUUUCCGCUGGGUGGCCAGCGUAUUGAAAUAAAAAUGUACACUUUUGGGUUACCAAACACUGACCGUACUAUGUAAUAAUGAAAUAGGCAGAUUCGACGAACAUUAUUUUAUUGUAUUAAUACAAACGUUUGGACAUAGGAUUUAUUUACAUUAAUUAAUUAGUAUAUUGACCAAAUAAAAAAAAACUUUCUUUUCCAAAUACUUACUUCCUGCCAAUAGGUAGGCAGUAUCAAAUUUUUAACAUAGAAUUUCGAUUAUAUUCGUAAGUACACUAUUCUUAAAAAUAUUACAAAAUUAGGAAUUUGUGCUUUCCAGUGGCAACACUUCUUGAAAUUUAGUUUUUUGCAAAUUUAGUGUAUUAAUUAAUGUAAAAUAAAUAAAAUAAUAUUUACUGAUGGAAGGUAAUAUUGUCCUUUUCAAGAUUUGAAGUUUCAGAUCUCUUUUUACAAUAAAAUACACUGCAAUUCACUAUUUUUGUCUCAGCACGUUACUCAUCAAUAGUGACAUUUGGAAUAUGUCAUUGGUGGCGCUGCAACUAGUUUUUAUAAACUGAGUGAACCACUGCGGGUCUAGUCAAAACGCACUUUAAAAUCGCAAACCCAUCGCAAAC